UACGGGGGGGGGCAAGCGUUGUUCGGAAUUACUGGGCGUAAAGGGCUCGUAGGCGGCCAACUAAGUCGGACGUGAAAUCCCUCGGCUUAACCGGGGAACUGCGUCUGAUACUGGAUGGCUUGAGAUUGGGAGAGGGAUGCGGAAUUCCAGGUGUAGCGGUGAAAUGCGUAGAUAUCGAGAGGAACAUCGGUGGCGAAGGCGGCCUUCUGGACGGUGACUGACGCUGAGAUGUGAAAGCGUGGGGAGCAAACAGG
rnacentral:rRNA from 1 species